rnacentral:lncRNA from 1 species
GGGAUUGUUGUUGUCCUUCGAAUUCUAAAUUAAAAUAAUCAGCGCCAGUUUUCCUAAGAGUUAUUUCUCAAGGAAUUUCCAUGAGUGAAAUCCGAGUUUAAAAAUAACUCACCGAAUCAGACAAAAGAGACUAAAGGAGAAGCUUCAUAUCUCUAGACACAUGGGAAAACCAACACAUUCAAGAGAGCAAGUCAACUGAACAUGCUUGCAAAGUGGAUUGUGGUUGGUUGUAUUCCAGAUGCACCAACCAGGAAAGGAGCCAGCCAGGAUGAGCAGACAGGGGUUAGACGUUUUUGUCAACAAUUAUGUUCUUUAUUAAGCUGUUGAUUCUAAAAUUUGUACAGAAAAUUUACACAUGAGGGACAAUGAGAGGCUGAAGACAGGAAGGUAAGAUCUUCUGUGACUGUUCCUACUACCUCUAUAAAGAAGAUGCCAGUGUCACCUGCUAAGGAGAAAGGACUUUUCUUUUUUC